AGAUUGAACGCUGGCGGCAGGCCUAACACAUGCAAGUCGAGCGGCAGCGGGAAGUAGUUUACUACUUUGCCGGCGAGCGGCGGACGGGUGAGUAAUGUCUGGGGAUCUGCCUGAUGGAGGGGGAUAACUACUGGAAACGGUAGCUAAUACCGCAUGACCUCGCAAGAGCAAAGUGGGGGACCUUAGGGCCUCACGCCAUCGGAUGAACCCAGAUGGGAUUAGCUAGUAGGUGGGGUAAUGGCUCACCUAGGCGACGAUCCCUAGCUGGUCUGAGAGGAUGACCAGCCACACUGGAA
rnacentral:rRNA from 1 species